GUCGAGCGAGAAAGGUCUUCGGACUGAGUAAAGCGGCGAACGGGUGAGAAACGCGUGGGAAUCUACCUUUUAGUGAGGAAUACCCUCGAGAAAUCGAGGUUAAUACUGCAUACGUCCCGUAAGGGAGAAAGAUGGCCUCUUUGCUGUCGCUGAAAGAUGAGCCUGCGUACUAUUAGCUAGUUGGUGGGGUAAUGGCCUACCAAGGCAAUGAUGGUUAGCCGACCUGAGAGGGUGUACGGCCACACUGGAACUUAGACACGGUCCAGACUCCUACGGGAGGCAGCAGUGAGGAAUAUUGCGCAAUGGGCGAAAGCCUGACGCAGCGACGCCGCGUGGAGGAUGAAGGUCUUAGGAUUGUAAACUUCUGUUAAGUGGGAAGAAAGGCAGCGUUCUAAUACAGCGCUGAUAUGACGGUACCAUUAGAGAAAGCACCGGCUAAACUCGUGCCAGCAGCCGCGGUAAUACGAGUGGUGCAAGCGUUAUUCGGAUUUAUUGGGCGUAAAGGGUGCGCAGGCGGUAUAUUAAGUCAACUGUUAAAUACCUCAGCCUAACUGAGGACCGGCAGUAGAUACUGGUAAACUAGAGGAUGGAAGAGAGAAGUGGAAUUCUUGGAGUAGCGGUAAAAUGCGUAGAUCUCAAGAGGAACACCAAUGGCGAAGGCAGCUUCUUGGUCCAUAUCUGACGCUCAUGCACGAAAGCGUG
rnacentral:rRNA from 1 species